rnacentral:ncRNA from 1 species
AGGUCUGGCCAUGCGUCAGGUUCCUCGCAAGAGGAUGAAUAGGGAACGGGGUUCAAAACCCCGGCUGCCCCCGCAACUGUAAGCGGCGAGCUUGCGCGUCACAUGCCACUGGGAUCUCGGUCCUGGGAAGGCGACGCGCCAAGCCGUGACCCGUGAGCCAGGAGACCUGCCCGGCGCAGUCGUUCAUC